CAGCCGCCGCGGUAAUACGAAGGGUGCAAGCGUUACUCGGAAUUACUGGGCGUAAAGCGUGUGUAGGUGAUUGUUUAAGUCUGUCGUGAAAGCCCUGGGCUCAACCUGGGAAUUGCGAUGGAUACUGGGCGACUAGAGUGCGGUAGAGGAUAGUGGAAUUUCCGGUGUAGCAGUGAAAUGCGUAGAGAUCGGAAGGAACAUCUGUGGCGAAGGCGACUAUCUGGGCCAACACUGACACUGAGACACGAAAGCGUGGGGAGCAAACAGGAUUAGAUACCCCUGUAGUCCCUGUCUCUUAUAC
rnacentral:rRNA from 1 species